rnacentral:rRNA from 1 species
UACGUAGGGCGCGAGCGUUGUCCGGAAUCAUUGGGCGUAAAGAGCUCGUAGGCGGCCUGUCGCGUCUGCUGUGAAAUCCCGGGGCUUAACCCCGGGCGUGCAGUGGAUACGGGCUGGCUGGAGGCAGGCAGGGGAGAACGGAAUUCCCGGUGUAGCGGUGAAAUGCGCAGAUAUCAGGAGGAACACCGGUGGCGAAGGCGGGUCUCUGGGCCGUAACUGACGCUGAGGAGCGAAAGCAUGGGGAGCGAACAGG